UUAGUCUUCCACUACUAAGUAUGAUAUUUGCUAUAGGUUUUUUUAGGUGGUUUUUUAUCUGUUUGAAGAAGUUCCCUUACAUUCAGAGUUUAAGAGUUUCAUCAUGAAUGAGCAUUAGAUUUUGUAAAAUGCUUUUUCUGCAUGUAUUGACAUGACCAUGUAGGUUUUGUCUAUUACAUUAAUAUGACACAUUAUUUUUAUUUUCAGAUGCCAAAACAACCUUGUAUCCCAAGGUAAGUUCUACUUGGUCAUUGUCUCAUGCUGCUGGAUUUGAUUUCCUUGUCUAUGUUCAUGUGGCAUAAUGUGAUGACUUUGGCCUCAACGAGCUUGGAAGUGUAUUCUUUUCCAAAGCCUCUAGUUAGAAGCCUGGUCCAGCUAAUGCCUUGAUUUGAGCCAUGUGACACACUGAGCAAGAGAGCCCUGUUGAGUCUGCCUGGACUUCUGACCUACAAGAAGGCCUACAUCUCUAAUUACUGCCCUGGCCAUGGGACAUCUGAAUCUGGAACACCUGAUCAGCACAUGCCCAACUUGUCGUGAGCACUCAUGUGAAGAUUGAGUGGCCUCUGUGAAACUAGCCGCAAGGUAUUCUGCCACCGCACGGGCCGCUACAGCUCAAAUGAGGUGUCUGUCUUCAUGAAGGUG